rnacentral:rRNA from 21 species
AGUCGGGACCUAACACGAACCCGGAAGGGGCAGUGGAUGGACAACGGGUUAAUAUUCCCGUACCCGCAAUGCGACAAAAGUGACGGGGCAGCUUAGUUGGUGCGUGCUGACGGAAUAGCACGUUGAAGCGCAAGCGAUAGUACGACAAGGCCACGGCCGCGUCGAUAAUCCAGCGGCGCUGCCUCCAAGAAAAGCGAGCAUUGCGGCCCGUACCGUAAACCGACACAGGUGGUCGGGAUGAGAAUUCUAAGGCGCUCGAGAGAU